AUUGCUUCUUGGCCUUUUAGCUCAGAUCCAUUGUAGUACCUGUUCUGGCAGGGGAGAUACUGUGAUCACUGGUCACCAAGCCAAGAUCACUUUAAAUGUCAUUGUGUAGUUAAGGGUGGAAACUUGUCCAAUGUACUAAGGGCAGGCCCUCCUAUAAGAGUUUACUAUAGCCUCCUAGUAGGUAAAUCUU
rfam:Alligator mississippiensis ScZkoYb_152, whole genome shotgun sequence.